AGAGCCCCCAAUACCCGAAAAUGCGCACAAACACACAUGCCAGCAAGGAAAAGACCAACGACAACUCUUCAUAUAUGCAAUCUUCUUGCUUGGCGGACUCCGAAUUAGUCAAAGAAAACCGACAACCGUCUUUCUUCAAAAGAUAUGUCAAACUCCCUCAGGUAUUCGAAGAGGCGCCAGGACACUGCGGUCAUUGCGGCAGGAGCGCAAGCAACAACAUACGACGUCUUGCUAUCUUAUUGAAAAGCCAUACGCAUUCCCGCAGUGUGGCUUUUGCGCAGAAACUUUAAGACAUCGAAAAUGCCCGAAACCAUGUAUGAAAAACACUCGCCUAGUGCCUCUGUGC
rnacentral:lncRNA from 1 species